rnacentral:lncRNA from 1 species
AUGAACCGACCACCAAGGAACUCAGCAGACAGGAGGCAAUUCUGGUUAUCAUCAGCCAGCAAGCGGGAUGGUUAUGAGGGCUCUCGCCUAGUGGUGUUCCGGGGGACCAGGGGAGGUCGCUCCGGAGCAAGUGGUCGAGAGGAGGAGCCACAGAGGUCCCCCCCACCUACCCAGCUGCCAACGAUCCCUGAGGGUCGUGUCCUGGCCGUGGCAACCCUGGGGGAUCAGGCAAGCCCCUCCCAGAGUCCUGAGGUGCCCUCCACAGCCAGCAGUCUCCCCAUGAAACGAGGGAGACGGUUUUCAUGGGAGUCAACUUCUGAGUCUUCGGCGUCCGAGACUGCCCUGCCCGAGACCGAACUCUCCCAACCCGCCUCUGACCCAGCUGUGGCCUCUGCACCGCGCCCAAGGAGGAAGAGGAGGAAGAGGGGGCCUGCCGGUCCUGUGACCCUGUCUCCUCCCGUGCCAGCAGCGGAGAGCGCUGGCGUGCCCGUGCCAGCAGCGGAGAGCGCUGGCGUGCCCGUGCCAGCAGCCCAGAGCGCUGGCGUGCCCGUGCCAGCAGCGGUGAACGUGCCCGUGCCAGCAGCGGUGAACGUGCCCGUGCCAGCAGCGGUGAGCGCUGGCGUGCCCGUGCCAGCAGCGGAGAGCGCUGGCGUGCCCGUGCCAGCAGCGGAGAGCGCUGGCGUGCCCGAGCCAGCAGCAGUGAGCGUGCCCGAGUCAGCAGCGGUGAGCGCUGGCGUUCCCGAGCCGGCAAAGAAGAGGGCAGUAUGCAAGUCGGCAGUCGUGAGAGCACAGGAGAGUGCCGCGGCCGACUCUGCAGCAAAGAAUUUAGUACAGUGUGUCUCAUCUCGUAAGGAGAUGCCAAUUGUCUUAGCGGCUAAAGCCUUUUCAGAUUAUUUGUCUAGUCUUGUCCGUAUCCUAGAAGUCCCCGUCAGUCCUGUCUUGUCCUCAGACCCUGUCCCCAGAAAUCCCGAGUGUCCUGAUGUCGUCUCCCCGUGUCCCGUAGAUGUCGUAUCCCCGUGUCCCGUCAAUGUUGCCCCGUGUCCGGCUGAUGUAGUCAUGUAUCCUGUUGAUGUGGCCCCGUGUCCCGUAGAUGUCCCGUGUCCUGUUGUCCCCCCGUGUCCAGUAGAUGUUGCCCCGUGUCCCGUAGAUGUCCCGUGUCCAGUAGAUGUUGUCAUCCCGUGUCCAGCUGUGGUCCCCCCGUGUCCAGCUGUCGUCUCCCCGCGUCCCGUAAGUCUUGCCCCGCGUCCCGUAAGUGUUGCCCCGUGUCCCUUGUCUGCUCCUAUCAUGUCCCCUGUCAGUUGUCCCGAGACCCCUCCCCACCCCUCACCACCCAGACCUGCCCGUACCCCCCCGUCGUCAGCCUUCGUCCUGUCCUCCUAA